CCUACGGGAGGCAGCAGUGGGGAAUAUUGGACAAUGGGGGAAACCCUGAUCCAGCGACGCCGCGUGGGUGAAGAAGGCCUGCGGGUUGUAAAGCCCUUUCGGUAGGGACGAAAGCUCCUGCCCUAACACGGCAGGAGGUUGACUUAACCUACAAAAGAAGCACCGGCUAACUCUGUGCCAGCAGCCGCGGUAAUACAGAGGGUGCGAGCGUUAAUCGGAAUUACUGGGCGUAAAGCGCACGUAGGCGGCUUGGUAUGUCGGGUGUGAAAUCCCCGGGCUCAACCUGGGAACUGCAUCCGAAACUGCCUUGCUCGAGUAUGGGAGAGGGAAGCGGAAUUUCCGGUGUAGCGGUGAAAUGCGUAGAUAUCGGAAGGAACAUCAGUGGCGAAGGCGGCUUCCUGGACCAAUACUGACGCUCAGGUGCGAAAGCGUGGGGAGCAAACAGGAUUAGAUACCCUGGUAGUCCACGCCCUAAACGAUGGGCACUAGGUGUAGGAGGUAUUGACCCCUUCUGUGCCGAAGCUAACGCAUUAAGUGCCCCGCCUGGGGAGUACGGCCGCAAGGCUAAAACUUAAAGGAAUUGACGG
rnacentral:rRNA from 1 species